rnacentral:rRNA from 1 species
AGUGAACGCUGGCGGUAGGCCUAACACAUGCAAGUCGAACGGCAGCACAGUAAGAGCUUGCUCUUACGGGUGGCGAGUGGCGGACGGGUGAGGAAUACAUCGGAAUCUACUUUUUCGUGGGGGAUAACGUAGGGAAACUUACGCUAAUACCGCAUACGACCUACGGGUGAAAGCAGGGGAUCUUCGGACCUUGCGCGAUUGAAUGAGCCGAUGUCGGAUUAGCUAGUUGGCGGGGUAAAGGCCCACCAAGGCGACGAUCCGUAGCUGGUCUGAGAGGAUGAUCAGCCACACUGGAACUGAGACACGGUCCAGACUCCUACGGGAGGCAGCAGAGGGGAAUAUUGGACAAUGGGCGCUAGCCUGAUCCAGCCAUACCGCGUGGGUGAAGAAGGCCUUCGGGUUGUAAAGCCCUUUUGUUGGGAAAGAAAAGCAGCAGGUUAAUACCCCGCUGUUCUGACGGUACCCAAAGAAUAAGCACCGGCUAACUUCGUG